rfam:Gloeophyllum trabeum ATCC 11539 unplaced genomic scaffold GLOTRscaffold_00018, whole genome shotgun sequence.
GGCUCCGUGGUCUAGUGGUAAGAUACCUGCUUUGGGCGAGAUAUGCAGGUGAUCCCGGGUUCGAACCCCGGCGGAGCCC